GGGUAAAAUUAAUAAAUAUGAUUAUAUAAUAAAAAAAAUUUUAAUAUUAAAAUGAAAUAAUGGGGGUUUGAGUAUUUUUAAUAGAAAAAAUUAUUAUUUUUAUAGUAAAAUAUUACUGUAAAGGAAUUUAAAAAUAUGUGAAAUAUAAUUAAUAAAAAAGUAAAUUUAAUUUAUUGUAUCUUGUGUAUCAGAGUUUAUUAAAUAAUAAAAAUUUAUUUAAAUAAAUCUCGAAUUUAAAAGAGUUAAUUAAUUAUAAAAGUUAAUGUUGAAUAAUUAUUUUUAAUAAUUAAUUAGAAAUGAAAUGUUAAUCGUUUUUAAAUAUAUCUAGUUUUUUUAGAAAAAAAUUUAAUUUUAAAUUUAAAUUAUUUUAUAAAUUAAUUAAUUAAUUAUUAAAAUUUAAAAUUUAAUAUUUUAGGGGAUAAGCUUUAAAUUAAAGUUUUAUAAUAAAAUUAAAUUAAAAUUAAAAUUUUUAAUAUUUAUAUUGUUUAAAAAUUAUAAUUUAUUAUAAAAAAUUUUAGUUAAUAGUUAAAAUUUAAAUGAAAAUUUAAAUUUUUAUAAAAAAAUAAUUUUUAAUAAAAAAAAAUUAGUAAUAAUGAUAAAAUUAGUAUAAUUUUUAAAUUAAAUAAAAAUUUAUUGAUAGUUAAUUUAAAGGAAUUCGGCAAAAAUUUAUAUUCACUUGUUUAUCAAAAACAUGUCUUUUUGAUAAUAAUUUAAAGUCUAAUCUGCCCACUGAUAUUUAUAUUAAAGGGCUGCAGUAUAUUGACUGUACAAAGGUAGCAUAAUCAUUAGUCUUUUAAUUGAAGACUUGUAUGAAAGAUUUGAUGAAAUAUAAACUGUCUCUAGUUUAUUAUUAGAAGUUAAUUUUUUAGUUAAAAAGCUAAAAUAAAAUUAAAAGACGAGAAGACCCUAUAGAGUUUUAUAUUUUAUUUUUUUUAGUUUUAAAUAUAUAAUUAAAAUUAUAUUAAUUAAAUAAAAUAUUUUGUUGGGGUGAUAGAAAAAUUUAAUAAACUUUUUUUAGAAAAAUUUACAUAAAUAAGUGAUUUAAUUGAUCCAUUUUUAGUGAUUAUAAGAAAAAAUUACCUUAGGGAUAACAGCGUAAUAUUUUUUUUUAGUACAAAUAAAAAAAAAAGUUUGCGACCUCGAUGUUGGAUUAAGAUAAAAUUUAAAUGCAAAAGUUUAAAAUUUUGAUCUGUUCGAUCAUUAAAAUCUUACAUGAUCUGAGUUCAAACCGGUGUGAGCCAGGUUGGUUUCUAUCUUUAAUAAAAUAAAAUAUUUUAGUACGAAAGGAUCAAAUAUUUAAAAUAAUUUUAUUAAUUUGAAUAUUAUUAAUGGUGAUUA
rnacentral:rRNA from 1 species